GACGAACGCUGGCGGCGUGCUUAACACAUGCAAGUCGAACGGUAAGGCCCUUCGGGGUACACGAGUGGCGAACGGGUGAGUAACACGUGGGUGAUCUGCCCUGCACUUCGGGAUAAGCCUGGGAAACUGGGUCUAAUACCGGAUAUGACCCUGGGAUGCAUGUCCUGGGGUGGAAAGCUUUUGCGGUGUGGGAUGGGCCCGCGGCCUAUCAGCUUGUUGGCGGGGUGAUGGCCUACCAAGGCGACGACGGGUAGCCGGCCUGAGAGGGUGACCGGCCACACUGGGACUGAGAUACGGCCCAGACUCCUACGGGAGGCAGCAGUGGGGAAUAUUGCACAAUGGGCGCAAGCCUGAUGCAGCGACGCCGCGUGAGGGAUGACGGCCUUCGGGUUGUAAACCUCUUUCAGCACCGACGAAGCGCAAGUGACGGUAGGUGCAGAAGAAGGACCGGCCAACUACGUGCCAGCAGCCGCAGUAA
rnacentral:rRNA from 1 species